rnacentral:tRNA from 1 species
GCCUGGCUGGCUCAGUUUGAAGAGCGCGAGAUUCUUGAUCUUGGGAUCAUGAGUUAGAGUCCCAUGUUGGGUG